ACAUCCAGAGAACUUAGCAGAGAUGCUUUGGUGCCUUCGGGAACGUCUGAGACAGGUGCUGCAUGGCUGUCGUCAGCUCGUGUUGUGAAAUGUUGGGUUAAGUCCCGCAACGAGCGCAACCCUUAUCCUUUGUUGCCAGCGAUUCGGUCGGGAACUCAAAGGAGACUGCCGGUGAUAAACCGGAGGAAGGUGGGGAUGACGUCAAGUCAUCAUGGCCCUUACGAGUAGGGCUACACACGUGCUACAAUGGCGCAUACAAAGAGAAGCGACCUCGCGAGAGCAAGCGGACCUCACAAAGUGCGUCGUAGUCCGGAUCGGAGUCUGCAACUCGACUCCGUGAAGUCGGAAUCGCUAGUAAUCGUGGAUCAGAAUGCCACGGUGAAUACGUUCCCGGGCCUUGUACACACCGCCCGUCACACCAUGGGAGUGGGUUGCAAAAGAAGUAGGUAGCUUAACCUUCGGGAGGGCGCUUACCACUUUGUGAUUCAUGACUGGGGUGAAGUCGUAACAAGGUAAGCGUAGUGCU
rnacentral:rRNA from 1 species